GAUGAACGCUGGCGGCGUGCCUAAUACAUGCAAGUCGAGCGAACAGACGAGGAGCUUGCUCCUCUGACGUUAGCGGCGGACGGGUGAGUAACACGUGGAUAACCUACCUAUAAUACUGGGAUAACUUCGGGAAACCGGAGCUAAUACCGGAUAAUAUAUUGAACCGCAUGGUUCAAUAGUGAAAGACGGCUUUGCUGUCACUUAUAGAUGGAUCCGCGCCGCAUUAGCUAGUUGGUAAGGUAACGGCUUACCAAGGCAACGAUGCGUAGCCGACCUGAGAGAGGGAUCGGCCACACUGGAACUGAGACACGGUCCAGACUCCUACGGGAGGCAGCAGUAGGGAAUCUUACGCAAUGGGCGAAAGCCUGACGGAGCAACGCCGCGUGAGUGAUGAAGGUCUUCGGAUCGUAAAACUCUGUUAUUAGGGAAGAACAAAUGUGUAAGUAACUAUGCACGUCUUGACGGUAACUAAUCAGAAAGCCACGGCUAACUACGUG
rnacentral:rRNA from 1 species